ACCUGACUGCUAUCGGAUUGAUACUAAGCCAUGCGAGUCUUUGUAGUAAUACAAGGCAUACGGCUCAGUAACGCGUAGUCAACCUACCCUAUGGACAAGAAUAAUCUCGGGAAACUGAGCAUAAUUCUUGAUAGAUCAUAAUGCCUGGAAUGGUUUAUGGUUAAAAUGAUUCGUCGCCAUAGGAUGGGACUGCGGCCUAUCAGCUUGUUGGUGAGGUAAUGGCCCACCAAGGCGAUAACAGGUACGGGCUCUGAGAGGAGAAGCCCGGAGAUGGGUACUGAGACAAGGACCCAGGCCCUAUGGGGCGCAGCAGGCGAGAAAACUUUGCAAUGUGCGAAAGCACGACAAGGUUAGUCCGAGUGAUUUCUGCUAAAGAGAUCUUUUGCUAGUCAUAAAACCACUAGUGAAUAAGGGGUGGGCAAGUUCUGGUGUCAGCCGCCGCGGUAAAACCAGCACCUCAAGUGGUCAGGAUGAUUAUUGGGCCUAAAGCAUCCGUAGCCGGCUCUGUAAGUUUUCGGUUAAAUCUAUGCGCUCAACGUAUGGGCUGCCGAAAAUACUGCAGAGAUAGGGAGUGGGAGAGGUAGACGGUACUCGGUAGGAAGGGGUAAAAUCCUUUGAUCUAUCGAUGACCACCUGUGGCGAAGGCGGUCUACCAGAACACGUUCGACGGUGAGGGAUGAAAGCUGGGGGAGCAAACCGGAUUAGAUACCCGGGUAGUCCCAGCUGUAAACGAUGCAGACUCGAUGAUGCAUUGGCAUAUAGCCAGUGCAGUGUCGCAGGGAAGCCGUUAAGUCUGCCGCCUGGGAAGUACGUACGCAAGUAUGAAACUUAAAGGAAUUGGCGGGGGAGCACCACAAGGGGUGAAGCCUGCGGUUC
rnacentral:rRNA from 1 species